rnacentral:rRNA from 1 species
AACGCUGGCGGCGUGCCUAACACAUGCAAGUCGAACGAGAAAGUUUCUUCGGAAACGAGUAAAGUGGCGCACGGGUGAGUAACACGUGAAUAAUCUGCCUUCGAGACUGGGAUAACUUGACGAAAGUUAAGCUAAUACCAGAUAAGACCACGCUUCACAAGGAGUGCGGGAAAAGGGAUCUCAAAUCCUGCUCGUAGAUGAGUUCGCGUACCAUUAGCUUGUUGGUGAGAUAAAAGCUCACCAAGGCGACGAUGGUUAGCCGGCCUGAGAGGGUGAUCGGCCACACUGGAACUGAGACACGGUCCAGACUCCUACGGGAGGCAGCAGUGGGGAAUCUUGCGCAAUGGGCGAAAGCCUGACGCAGCAACGCCGCGUGAGCGAUGAAGGCCUUCGGGUCGUAAAGCUCUGUCAAGUGGGAAGAACACAAUGACGGUACCACUAGAGGAAGCCCCGGCUAACUUCGUGCCAGCAGCCGCGGUAAUACGAAGGGGGCAAGCGUUGUUCGGAAUUAUUGGGCGUAAAGCGUAUGUAGGUGGUUUAUCAAGUCAGACGUGCAAGCCCUCGGCUCAACCGAGGAAUUGCGUUUGAAACUGAUAGACUUGAGUGUAGGAGAGGAAAGCGGAAUUCCCAGUGUAGCGGUGAAAUGCGUUGAUAUUGGGAAGAACACCGGUGGCGAACGCAGCUUUCUGGCCUGCUACUGACACUGAGAUACGAAAGCCAGGGGAGCAAAGGGGAUUAGAUACCCCCGUAGUC